UGGGGAAUUUUCCGCAAUGGGCGAAAGCCUGACGGAGCAAUGCCGCGUGGAGGUGGAAGGCCUACGGGUCAUCAACUUCUUUUCUCGGAGAAGAAACAAUGACGGUAUCUGAGGAAUAAGCAUCGGCUAACUCUGUGCUAG
rnacentral:rRNA from 1 species